UAGUACGCAAAUAAGGGCGUAUGGUGGAUGCCUUGACACUAAGAGACGAUGAAGGACGUUGCAGGGUGCGAUAAGCCUCGGUUAGGUCCCAAGCAACCUUUGACCCGGGGAUGUCCGAAUGGGGGAACCCCGCCGACUUUACGUCGGUGAUUACGCGCUGAAUUCAUAGGCGCGUAAAGAAGACCUGGUGAAGUGAAACAUCUCAGUAACCAGAGGAAAAGAAAACGAAAAAUAUUAGCCUUCAGCUUUCAGUCUUCAGCUUUCGGUAUUGCCGAUCGCGGAAGUCUGAUAGCUGAUAGCUAUUGUGAUUCCCUAAGUAGUGGCGAGCGAAAGGGGAACAGCCCAAACCUACACUGUGUUGGAUUGCGGAAGAAUCUGUCUUCGGACUUAUUUAGACGCAAUCUUUAAAGGACAGGCCGUUGCGGUGUAGGGGUUAUAGGACAGAAUGUUUGAUUACCUGUUUUAAUCAGGCAUGCCGCGGUUUUUAUAGUCGAAGACCCCUGGAAAGGGGCACCAUAGCAGGUGAUAGUCCUGUAGACGAAAUAUUAAUUGCGCGUGUAUUUUUGUUCCUGAGUACGGCGGAACACGAGAAACUCCGUCGGAAUUUCGGCCGACUAUGGCCUAAGGCUAAAUACUCUUAGUGAUCGAUAGUGAACAAGUACCAUGAGGGAAAGGUGAAAAGCAGCCCGGUGAGGGCGAUGAAAUAGUAUCUGAAACCAUAUGCCUACAAUGAGCUAGAGUCCCGAUAUCGCAAGAUAUCGCGGAUGAUAGUAUUCCUAUUGAAGAAUGAGCCUGCGAGUGUGCUGUCGGUUGCAAGGUUAAUCCCGAUUAAAACGGGAGGAGCCGUAGGGAAACCGAGUCUUAACUGGCGAUUUAGUAGCCGGCACAUAACCCGAAACCGGGUGGUCAAUCCAUGGCCAGGAUGAAGGUUGAUGAAAAUCAGCUGGAGGUCCGAACCCACGCGCUGUGCAAAACGCGGGGAGGAGCUGUGGAUAGGAGAGAAAUUCUAAUCGAACUCGGUAAUAGCUGGUUCUCCUCGAAAUAUAUUUAGGUAUAGCUGCAUGUGUUCCCUCUGGGGGUAGAGCACUGGAUGAGAUUGGGGUCCGCAAGGAUACUCAUCUUAAUCAAACUCCGAAUACCAGAGGUCAAAAAUAUGCAAGUCAGACAGUGGGGGCUAAGCUUCAUUGUCAAAAGGGAAACAGCCCAGAUCACCAACUAAGGUCCCUAAGUUACUACUAAGUGUAAAAGGUGGUGUUGAUUCACAUACAACCAGGAGGUUGGCUUAGAAGCAGCCAUCCUUUAAAGAAAGCGUAAUAGCUCACUGGUCAAGAGUCUUCGCGCCGAAAAUGUACCGGGGCUAAGUAGUACACCGAAGUUGUGAGCUUGUGCGUGGCACAAGCAAGUUAUAAAGUCCAUAAAGUCCAUAAAGUCCAUAAAGUUGUUUGAUACGACUUUAUAGACUUUUGACUUUUGACUUUUGACUUGCUCGUGUCGCGCACGAGCGGUAGAGGAGCAUUUAGAGCAGCUGUGAAGUCUAACCUGUGAGGGAAGAUGGAGCGCUCUGAAGAGAGAAUGCAGGCACAAGUAGCAAAAAUGCCGGUGAAAGUCCGGCACGCCGAAAAACCAAGGUUUCCAGGGCAACGAGAAUCGUCCCUGGGUUAGUCGGUCCUAAGGCCAGCCCCGAUGUAAAUCGGGGGUAACCGAUGGAUGAGCAGGUUAAUAUUCCUGCACUUGAUAUAGUUUGUCCUGUGUGCGUGCUUUGCCGGUGAAAGCGUUGUAUGGCUACACGUCCCGCAAGGGGUAGGCUGAAUCUUCGGAAGAGGCCAACUUUCAUUUAAUAAGCACCGAGAAAAGCACAGUGACGUUAGGUUAUGUCAAUCCGUACCUCAAACCGACUCAGGUGGUUAAGUCGAGAAGACUAAGGCGAACGAGAGAAAUAUAGUUAAGGAACUCUGCAAUUUAGCGGCCGUAACUUCGGGAUAAGGCCUGCCCUUCGCAAGAAGGGCCGCAGCUAAAGACCUCAUGCGACUGUUUACCAAAAACACAGCUCCCUGCAAAAGCGUAAGCUGAAGUAUAGGGAGUGAUGCCUGGCCAGUGUCAGAACGUUAAGGGGAGAGGUGAUCUCCGACGCAAGUCGGAGCGCAGCCUUGAGCCGAAGCGCUGAUGAACGCCGGCGAUAACUAUAAUCGUCCUAAGGUUGUGUGCCUGUAUAAAAUGGGUCCACAAGGGUUGGGACGGUUGUGGUGGUAACAGAUAAAUAGCUACCCAAUCCAAAAUGGAUUGCCUACUGACUAUAUGCUGAGAAAUCUGGUGUAUCUAACGAUACUAUGGUAUAAUGUACACAUAGAUGAAAUUAUAUUAUGCCAAGUAAAAAAGCGAUUAGUGCAGACAAUCAGCAGGAAAGACUAAAAACUGAGCAAUGGAUUGUUGGGUUUACAGAUGGCGAAGGAUGUUUUUCGGUAAGUAUCAUAAAGAAUUCAACAACUAGACUAGGUUGGCAAAUAUUUCCUGAAUUUGUGAUCACGCAAGGGGAAAAGAGUAAAAGUUCACUCGAACUUGUAAAAAAUUUUUUCCACUGUGGGAAGAUUUAUAUCAACAGGCGACACGAUAAUCAUAAAGAAAAUCUUUGUCGCUAUUGUGUGAGAUCAAUUCGGGAAAUAAGCGAGACUAUCAUUCCAUUUUUUCAGGAGAAUAAACUGCGAACUUAUAAAGAAAAAGAUUUUAUAAAGUUUGUCAAGAUUCUUUCGAUGAUGAAAAAUCAUCAACAUUUGAAAAUUGGCGGAAUGAAAAAAAUCGCACGCUUAAUAGAAAAGAUGAACAGAAAGGUGCCGGCCAGAUUUUUAGAAUCCCCAGAAACCAAACGUCAGCCUCGUCAAGUCACGAGGAAGAUAGAGUUCUAUCCGCAUAGCGAUAUGCGGGGGAAUAUAUAGCGAAAUUCCUUGUCGGGUGAGUUCCGACCCGCACGAAUGGUAUAACGAUGUGAGGACUGUCUUAACUAUAUACUCGGCGAAAAUGCAAGUGUCGUGAAGAUGCGACGUACCCGCAACUAGACGAAAAGACCCCGUGAAGCUUUACUACAACUUGACAUUGGUGCAUUAUUUCAUAUGUUUAGCGUAGGUGGGACCCGCAAGGGGCCAAUGAAACACCACCCUUAUGCCAUGAUGUGCCUAAUUUCCUUACUUGAAUCAGCGAGGGAAGACAGUGUCUGGUGGGUAGUUUAACUGGGGCGGUUGCCUCCCAAAAUGUAACGGAGGCGUUUACAAAGGUCAGCUUAGCCCGGAUGGAAAUCGGGCUGGACGUGCAAACGCAAAAGCUGGCUUUACUGCAAGGGCUACCACCCGAGCAGUCGCGAAAGCGGAAGUUAGUGAUCCGACCGUACGAUAUAGGACGGCGGAAGCUCAACGGAUAAAAGCUACUCCGGGGAUAACAGGCUGAUCGCGCCCAAGCGUCCACAGCGACGGCGCGGUUUGGCACCUCGAUGUCGGCUCAUCGCAUCCUGGGGCUGGAGAAGGUCCCAAGGGUUUGGCUGUUCGCCAAUUAAAGCGGUACGCGAGCUGGGUUCAGAACGUCGUGAGACAGUUCGGUCUCCUAUCUGUUGUGGGCGUUGAAUGUUGAGAAAGCUCUUCCCUAGUACGAGAGGACCGGGAAGAACGAACCUCUGGUGUGGGAGCUGUCCUGCCAAGGGCAUGGCUCCGUAACUAGGUUCGGCACGGAUAAGCGCUGAAAGCAUCUAAGCGCGAAGCCGUUUUCAAGAUUAACAUUCGUUUAAGACUCGUUAGAGACUAUGACGUUGAUAGGCGCUAGGUGUAAGCUCCGCAAGGGGUUGAGCCGAGGCGUACUAAUAAGUCGAGUGUACUACG
rfam:Candidatus Magasanikbacteria bacterium RIFCSPLOWO2_12_FTLL_43_12 rifcsplowo2_12_scaffold_14575, whole genome shotgun sequence.